rnacentral:rRNA from 2 species
UAACCUUUUAGGAGCUAGUCGUCUAAGGUGGGACAGAUGAUUAGGGUGAAGUCGUAACAAGGUAGCCGUAGGAGAACCUGCGGCUGGAUCACCUCCUUU